rnacentral:rRNA from 1 species
GAUGAACGCUGGCGGCGUGCCUAAUACAUGCAAGUCGAGCGAACGGACGAGAAGCUUGCUUCUCUGAUGUUAGCGGCGGACGGGUGAGUAACACGUGGAUAACCUACCUAUAAGACUGGGAUAACUUCGGGAAACCGUAGCUAAUACCGGGUAAUAUUUUGAACCGCAUGGUUCAAAAGUGAAAGACGGUCUUGCUGUCACUUAUAGAUGGAUCCGCGCUGCAUUAGCUAGUUGGUAAGGUAACGGCUUACCAAGGCAACGAUGCAUAGCCGACCUGAGAGGGUGAUCGGCCACACUGGAACGGAGACACGGACCAGAGUCCUACGGGAGGCAGCAGUAGGGAAUCUUCCGCAAGGGGCGAAAGCCUGACGGAGCAACGCCGCGUGAGUGAUGAAGGUCUUCGGAUCGUAAAACUCUGUUAUUAGGGAAGAACAUAUGUGUAAGUAACUGUGCACAUCUUGACGGUACCUAAUCAGAAAGCCACGGCUAACUACGUG